rnacentral:rRNA from 1 species
GACGAACGCUGGCGGCGUGCUUAACACAUGCAAGUCGAACGGAAAGGCCCUGCUUUUGUUGGGUUCUCGAGUGGCGAACGGGUGAGUAACACGUGAGUAACCUGCCCUUUACUUUGGGAUAACUUCAGGAAACUUGGUCUAAUACCGGAUAGGAUCUCCUGCUGCAUGGUGGGGUUUGGAAAGUUUCGUCGGUUGGGGAUGGACUCGCGGCUUAUCAGCUUGUUGGUGGGGUAGUGGCUUACCAAGGCUUUGACGGGUAGCCGGCCUGAGAGGGUGACCGGCGACAGUGGGACUGAGAUACGGCCCAGACUCCUACGGGAGGCAGAAGUGGGGAAUAUUGCACAAUGGGCGGAAGCCUGAUGCAGCAACGCAGCGUGCGGGAUGACGGCCUUCGGGUUGUAAACCGCUUUAGACUGUGGCGAAGCGUGAGUGACGGUAAUGGGUAAAGAAGCACCGGCUAACUACGUG